GGGGAGCCAUCGGAAGUACUCAUUAGAAGCCGACAAUGAAAGUAGCAAGAGAAGGUCUGCAAAAAGCUGGAAGGAGAAUCCACUUUAAAUUAAAAAUAAAAUCAGAACUUUUUGUGAGAUCUCAUGGAAGACUUGGGUACUUGUCAAGCCAUGUGAGGCCAGCAUAUUCAGGAAACAAGAACCACUUGGAUUUCUGGAAAGAUCUUUAUUGCUAGUAAGAUUCCUUAUCCUAACAGUUCACCAAAUCCUGGAAAGGAGAUAUGAAAUUCUAAACCACUGGACUGCGUUGAUCCUAACACUUGGAAGUCUUGCUAGCCAACAGCCU